GAUGCGGUAUGGGGAUAUGCAGGGACACAUGGGGACAUGGCACAGGAACACAUGAGGACACACAGGGACAUGGCAUGGGGACACAUGGGGACACAGUAUGGGGACAUGCAGGGACACAUGGGGACAUUCAGGGACAUGGCACAGGGACACACAGGGACACACGAUGGGGACAUGCAGGGACACGUGGAGACACAGCACAGGGACACACAAGGACAGGCAGGGACACACGGGGACAUGGCAGGGGGCCUGUCACCGCAGGGACAUGGCAUGGAGACACACAGGGACAUGGCAAUGGCACUGCCACUGUGGUGACACAGCAUGGGGACACAGCAUGGGGCUGUCACCACAAGGACAUGUGGGGACAUGUCACCGCCCCACUGCUGUGACACGGCAAUGUCACUGUCACUGUGCGUCGGGGGGACAUGUGGGGACAUGCAGGGACACAGGGUUGCAGUGACACGGUGGCCUGGGGAUGGGGUGGCAUGGGCAGGUGGUGACAUGGGGGUGCAGAAGCAGGAUGACAGGGUGACAUAAUGGCACCGUGACGUGGUGGCACAGUGAUGCAGUGGCACAGCGAUGCAGUGACAUGGGGACAUGGUGGCACAGGGACAUGGUGGCUUGGGGAUUCGGUGACAUGGCGAUGUGGUGGCAUGGGGACAUGGUGACAUGGGGAUGCAGUGGCUUGGGGGUGCAGUGAUGUGGUGACAUGGGGGUGCGGUGACAUGGGGCUGUGGUGGUACUGGGACACAGUGACAUAGGGGCACAGUGGCACAGUGACAUGGGGACGUGGUGACACGGGGAUGUGUUGACACGGUGACACUCACCCUCCUCCUCCAAGAGCUUCUGCAGCUCCAGCGAGCGCCGCCGCCGCGCGGGGUCGGAGGGACAUGGGGGCGCUGGGCACAUGGGGACGUGGGGACACAGGGACCCGUGGAYACCAGCCCCUAGCCCCGCGCUGUCCCCACAUGUCCCCUGGUCCCACCCACAUGUCCUCAGGGGAGUUGGGACACCCAGGCCCAGCCCCAUGUGCCCUUGUGUACCCCAUGUCCCACCCAUGUCCCUCCAUGUCCCUCCAUGUCCCUCCAUGUCCCCCCAUGUCCCCCCAUGUCCCUCCAUGUCCCUCAUGUCCCUCCAUUUCCCUUCAUGUCUCCCCACAUCCCUCCAUGUCCCCCAUGUCUCCUCAUGUCCAUGUCCCUCCAUGUCCCUCCGUGUCCCCACGUCCCCAUGUCCCCACGUCACUCACGUGGUCCCAGGGGCUCCUGGGUGCCCCCCACGGCCAGCGCCAGCCCGGCGGCCCUGAACACCCCCCAGGCA
rnacentral:lncRNA from 1 species